UACGUAGGGGGCGAGCGUUGUCCGGAUUUAUUGGGCGUAAAGAGCGUGUAGGCGGUUCGGUAAGUCUGUCGUGAAAUCCUGAGGCUCAACCUUGGACGUGCGAUGGAUACUGCCGGGCUAGAGGAUGGUAGAGGCGAGUGGAAUUCCCGGUGUAGCGGUGAAAUGCGCAGAUAUCAGGAAGAACACCCGUGGCUAAGGCGGCUCUCUAGUACGGUACUGACGCUGAGACGCGAAAGCGUGGGGAGCGAACAGG
rnacentral:rRNA from 1 species